GGCGUAGAGAUAUCACCAGCGGCUGAUGGACCAUCUCCUGAAGGACCCAUCGCCGAGCCUGACGGAGAAUCUGACGGUGAAGAAGAAGUAGAGCCUCCCGGAGCCAACGAUGGAGAAACGGUGGGUGAGUUUGAAACAGGGGAUGAAGAUUUAGGUGCCAUUGAUCCAGGUGGUGAAGUCAUCGGAGCAGAAGACGGAGGAAUAGUUGAAGAUGAUUUAGGUGCCAUUGGUGCCGGCGGUGAAGUCAUCGGAGCAGAGGAUGGGGAAACAGGGGACGUGGAUUUAGGUGGUGCCGGUGGUGAAGUCGUCGGAGAAACAGGGGAGCCGGAUUUAGGCGCCAUUGAUCCUGGAGGAGAAGUCGCCGGAGAGACAGCUGAUGAAGAUUUAGGCGAGUGAGCUCCUCCAGGCGGAGUAGUCGAUCCCGGAGGAGAAGUCGUCGGAGAAACAGGGGAGGAAGAUUUAGGCGAGUGGGCUCCUCCCGGCGGAGUCAUUGAUCCCGGCGUAGAGCUUCCCGGUGCAGCGGCGUGAGGAGACUGAGCCGUUGAUGGAAUCCUAGCAGAUAUGACAACGACAUUAAGCUUUUGACCCUUCUUACAGUUAUCUUCAUUGCCACUGAUGAAGUAAAACGGACCAUAACGAUCAAGAGAGAUCUCAGAAUCUCCAUCGUCCACUCUUUUGAUCGGAUUCUUUGUAUUACAAGCGUCGUAAUCAGCCUUGUUCACCUCUAGCACCGAGUCAGCUCCCUUAGCGUAGCUAAAAUCUGCAAGAAUCGAAAUUGAGUUUCAGACAAAACAAAAGUACACUCUAAGUUAACGAAAUGACACAAACGGGUAAGAGAGUGAGAGAGAGAGAUGAUAUAUACAGAGAGUGUCGUGAACAAGGAAACGGUUUUUGCCAGACCAAGAUUCGUAGUUUUCAGGUGGGUUUGUAACCCACGCGCCACUGCCUCCGACAUUAAACUUCCGUGCGUUGGAGAUGGUGAAGAGGGUCGAGAGAGAGAGGAGGAUGGUGAAGAAGAAAGAAAGGCUUUUCAUUUUUAGAAAGGUCAUGUUUUUCAAAAGCUGCGAGAGAUUUUCAACAAGAUAAGAGAUGUUUAUAUAGAAAUGAAGCGUUUAUAAUGGGCUAAGGAAAGUGUGAAGCUUUUUUGUCUUAAUGAUAGAGAGAGGUCGUUUUUAUGGGUAAUACGUGUUCGAAAUUGAAUCUCUGUAUCUACUCGUUUUCCUCACAUUAAAAGAAGAUAUUGCUUCUUCGUAUCUGCCGACGUGUUUAAUUUAAUUCUUUUUGGGAUUUGAAGUUAUAUGAAUUUAUCCCCGGGAAAAACGCAUUAGAGAACAGUUGGUUUUGUGGAAAGAAUCGGAUUCAACGAAUCAUAUGCUUCCAUUAUAUAUGAGAAUACCGAAAAGUCUGAAAUCUUGCAUCAGGUCUUAAUUGCAAAUUCAUUUUCCAUUUGAUAUGAGAAUACCAAAAAGCUUCAACCAUAUCGACAUUAGUACAUAUUGGUCUGAUGGUCUCUCCUACGUAUUUUCGACGAAAGAAACUUGCGAACUCGGAAGAGCGGUACAGGUGGUAGUCCGUAGUCUAUAGUAGAUACAACACUUGCAACAUUUUGAACAUAUGGGCUGGGCUUAUAAGGUUCGGGCCCUUUAUUUUCUUUCUUAGAGUUGAUGAUGAUAAGAAGACUAGAGUCACUUUUUUUUAGCACAAGAAUCUCUGAAUCAGCCUUUGCUUCUGUUGCUCUGGGGACACGUGAGAAGCACAGUGAUUAGCCACGUGUUCUUCUCCCGACACUAACUCGAUCCUCAAAGUACUUCCAUCGGUGUGUAUAUAGAUGAGAGCGAGAGCUAGAUAAUGAAUUGAAAAGUGUAGAAAAUGGCGGCUAUGUUUUUAGCAAAGAGAGGAGCCAUAAACAUACAUAGAGCUUCUUCAUUACACAUAGAUUACAACAACAGUUCUCGAUCUGUUGUUGAUGGAGUCAUUACUAUCACUAACUCUCGUUACUUCGCAUCCCACGUACGUUUUUGAAAUUUGUUGAAGAUAGAUUAAUUAUGCAUACAAAAAUCGUUGAGCUGUUUUCAC
rnacentral:lncRNA from 1 species